AACAUAAAACGCACUGUUCUUCCUCAUAGUUACUAAAUUAGUGUAAUGUAAAGGCGACCAUACCCAGGUGCUGGAUGGGGUCAUGACCAAAACUCCCUGACCACCCAAUGUGUUUAGACGCUGAACUAUUUCAAAUAUGAUUUUUCUGCCGCAAAAAGGCACCAUGAUUGUGGUGGGGGUUUCCAUUCAAUUAGAGAUUGGGGAGAAGGGAUGACAUUUUGGUGGAGUUUCUCAAUUCCAACAGAACAAGGCCUUCUCACGAGCAUUACAAAACGAAUGAUGAUAGUUUAAGCACGCCCGAGAGCAAAUUUGUUACCAUAACUUAGCGGACCAUUUUCACGCAAUCACCACCAAAAACGAACCUGCAUAGGUUUCGUAAAACAUUAUUGGAGUUUCAAUACUUUGCGCAACUUCUCAAAUUCUGCAAGUGGCCCGCAUAUUUUGAGUGCGUCAUUCCGCUACCUCGACCCCGUUGUCUUGAUGGCUGCAGUUCCUGUGGAACCGGUGCAGAAUCCAUUCCCGCUUCGUUGUGAAUCCUCAACCUUACUAUAUAGAUAUAGGCAUUUGUGAUCAAAUAAAU
rnacentral:sRNA from 1 species